rnacentral:pre_miRNA from 1 species
CAUCUACUCCCUCCGUCCGAAAAUACUUGUCCUAGAAAUGAAUAAAAUGGUUAUAUCUAUAACCAAAAUAAGUCUAGAUACAUUCAUUUCUAGGACAAGUAUUUCCGGGCGGAGGGAGUAUAAA